rnacentral:rRNA from 1 species
AAUGGGGGCAACCCUGAUCCAGCCAUGCCGCGUGUGUGAAGAAGGCCUUCGGGUUGUAAAGCACUUUAAGUUGGGAGGAAAGGGUUAUGGCUAAUAUCCAUGAUCUAUGACGUUACCAACAGAAUAAGCACCGGCUAACUCCGUGCCAGCAGCCGCGGUAAUACGGAGGGUGCAAGCGUUAAUCGGAAUUACUGGGCGUAAAGCGCGCGUAGGCGGCUAAGUAAGCUAGAUGUGAAAUCCCUGGGCUCAACCUGGGCACUGCAUUUAGAACUGCUUAGCUAGAGUGCAGAAGAGGAGUGUGGAAUUUCCGGUGUAGCGGUGAAAUGCGUAGAGAUCGGAAGGAACAUCAGUGGCGAAGGCGACACUCUGGUCUGACACUGACGCUGAGGUGCGAAAGCGUGGGUAGCAAA